ACUAGAGCAUGGUGAAUAUAGAGUAGACUACUGGAGGAGGGUUAACAGACAGUCAGUCCUCUAUUCUAUAUUCACCAUGCUCUAGUCUAGUCUAGACUCCUGGAGGAGGGUUAACAGACAGACAGUCCUCUACUCUAUAUUCACCAUGCUCUAGUCUAGUCUAGACUCCUGGAGGAGGGUUAACAGACAGUCCUCUACUCUAUAUUCACCAUGCUCUAGUCUAGACUCCUGGAGGAGGGUUAACAGACAGUCCUCUACUCUAUAUUCACCAUGCUCUAGUCUAGACUACUGGAGGAGGGUUAACAGACAGUCCUCUACUCUAUAUUCACCAUGCUCUAGUCUAGACUACUGAAGGAGGGAUAACAGACAGUCAGUCCUCUACUCUAUAUUCACCAUGCUCUAGUCUAGUCUAGACUACUGGAGGAUGGUUAACAGACAUUCAGUCCUCUACUCUAUAUUCACCAUGCUCUAAUCUAGACUACUGGAGGAGGGAGGGUUAACAGACAGUCCUCUACUCUAUAUUCACCAUGCUCUAGUCUAGACUACUGGAGGAGGGUUAACAGACAGUCAGUCCUCUACUCUAUAUUCACCAUGCUCUAGUCUAGACUACUGGAGGAGGGUUAACAGACAGUCAGUCCUCUACUCUAUAUUCACCAUGCUCUAGUCUAGUCUAGACUCCUGGAGGAUGGUUAAUAGACCAAUUGGACAUGUUAGCUGACUAGUGGGUUGGGUAACAUCAUUCUAUCCCACAUUCCAUUUCAGCUGUGCUAUGAACAGAACUGUAAAUUACUACUAAUUUAUAGCUACGUAAACCUACAUGGAACCCACCCACAUACCUGGAACUUAUAACAUGUAAACUACCCUACAAUAAACUGUUCACCUUUUGGAAAGUUUGUCAAUCUACAUAUUGUUAAAUGUGUUUUUGGUUCGGAGAGGAGAUAAUUCUCUGAAUGUUCUAUACAAAUGUUAAGGUAAGCAUUCUCCACUUUUUGAUGUGUCAGGGUUCUCUUCUCUUGAUGUGUCAGGGUUCUCUUGAUGUGUCAGGGGUCUCUUCUCUUGAUGUGUCAGGGUUCUCUUCUCUUGAUGUGUCAGGGUUCUCUUGAUGUGUCAGGGUUCUCUUCUCUUGAAGAUUGAUGUUGGAGACGAAAACUAAAGCCAAAACCCAAGUAUUCUCAUCUGUCACGUUUUUUUAAUAUAUAUUUUUUACAUUUUCAACAAUACUCUGAUGUAAAAUCAAUCAAAAUGUUUCUCUUCUGUUGACAUUUGUGAGCCCCUGAUUUCAGGGUUCU
ensembl:lncRNA